rnacentral:miRNA from 1 species
CCGUGCCGGGCUGGCGGG